GACGAACGCUGGCGGCGUGCCUAAUACAUGCAAGUAGAACGCACAGUUUAUACCGUAGCUUGCUACACCAUAGACUGUGAGUUGCGAACGGGUGAGUAACGCGUAGGUAACCUGCCGGGUAGCGGGGGGUAACUAUUGGAAACGAUAGCUAAUACCGCAUAAUAUUAAUUAUUGCAUGAUAAUUAAUUGAAAGGUGCAAUUGCACCACUACCAGAUGGACAUGCGUUGUAUUAGCUAGUAGGUGAGGUAACGGGUCACCUAGGCGACGAUACAUAGCCGGCCUGGGAGGGUGGUCGGCCACACUUGGACCGGGACCCCGCCCAGGAUUCCUCCGGGGGCAGCAGUAGGGAAUCUUCGGCAAUGGGCGGAAGUCUUACCGCGCAACGCCGCGUGAGUGAAGAAGGUUUUCGGAUCGGAAAGCUCUGUUGUAAGAGAAGAACGGGUGUGAGAGUGGAAAGUUCACACUGUGACGGUAUCUUACCAGAAAGGGACGGCUAACUACGUG
rnacentral:rRNA from 1 species